UACAUCAUGAAAACACAUAAUUUAGAGAUUUCAGGAGGGCUUGGACCAUCAGUUGGAUUGGUGCUGCGUGUUGGCCUGAUGGGAUGCAACAGCAGCAAGGCCAAUGUUGACAUGGUGCUGGCAGCACUAAAAGACGCUCUGAAACACUGCCACAAGAGCAAAGUGUAACAUGCUGCUGUUGAAUACUUUAAAGAUAAUCCUGAAUCAACGCUACUGUCAAGUAGUGUCAAGGAAGAGACUGUGUGUAAUAAAUAAACCUUUAUUCUCAGUA